rnacentral:rRNA from 1 species
UACGUAGGGGGCAAGCGUUGUCCGGAAUCAUUGGGCGUAAAGAGCGUGUAGGCGGCCCGGUAAGUCCGCUGUAAAGGUCAAAGGCUCAACCUUUGAAUGUCAGUGGAUACUGCCGGGCUAGAGUCCGGAAGAGGCGAGUGGAACUCCUGGUGUAGCGGUGGAAUGCGCAGAUAUCAGGAAGAACACCAACGGCGAAGGCAGCUCGCUGGGACGGUACUGACGCUGAGACGCGAAAGCGUGGGGAGCGAACAGG